rnacentral:rRNA from 1 species
UAUGAAGAAGGCCUUCGGGUUGUAAAGUACUUUCAGUUGUGAGGAAGGUUUCGUAGUUAAUAACUGCGUUGCUUGACGUUAGCAACAGAAGAAGCACCGGCUAACUCCGUGCCAGCAGCCGCGGUAAUACGGAGGGUGCGAGCGUUAAUCGGAAUUACUGGGCGUAAAGCGCAUGCAGGUGGUUUGUUAAGUCAGAUGUGAAAGCCCGGGGCUCAACCUCGGAAGGUCAUUUGAAACUGGCAAACUAGAGUACUGUAGAGGGGGGUAGAAUUUCAGGUGUAGCGGUGAAAUGCGUAGAGAUCUGAAGGAAUACCAGUGGCGAAGGCGGCCCCCUGGACAGAUACUGACACUCAGAUGCGAAAGCGUGGGGAGCAAACAGGAUUAGAUACCCUGGUAGUCCACGCCGUAAACGAUGUCUACUUGGAGGUUGUGGCCUUGAGCCGUGGCUUUCGGAGCUAACGCGUUAAGUAGACCGCCUGGGGAGUACGGUCGCAAGAUUAAAACUCAAAUGAAUUGACGGGGGCCCGCACAAGCGGUGGAGCAUGUGGUUUAAUUCGAUGCAACGCGAAGAACCUUACCUACUCUUGACAUCCAGAGAAUUUUCCAGAGAUGGAUUAGUGCCUUCGGGAACUCUGAGACAGGUGCUGCAUGGCUGUCGUCAGCUCGUGUUGUGAAAUGUUGGGUUAAGUCCCGCAACGAGCGCAACCCUUAUCCUUGUUUGCCAGCACGUAAUGGUGGGAACUCCAGGGAGACUGCCGGUGAUAAACCGGAGGAAGGUGGGGACGACGUCAAGUCAUCAUGGCCCUUACGAGUAGGGCUACACACGUGCUACAAUGGCGCAUACAGAGGGCAGCGAACUUGCGAAAGUAAGCGAAUCCCAAAAAGUGCGUCGUAGUCCGGAUUGGAGUCUGCAACUCGACUCCAUGAAGUCGGAAUCGCUAGUAAUCGUGGAUCAGAAUGCCACGGUGAAUACGUUCCCGGGCCUUGUACACACCGCCCGUCACACCAUGGGAGUGGGCUGCAAAAGAAGUAGGUAGUUUAACCUUCGGGAGGACGCUUACCACUUUGUGGUCAUGACUGGGUG